rnacentral:rRNA from 1 species
CGGGGGGGGCAAGCGUUGUUCGGAAUUACUGGGCGUAAAGGGCCAGUAGGCGGCCAACUAAGUCGGAUGUGAAAUCCCCAGGCUCAACCUGGGAACUGCAUCCGAUACUGGAUGGCUUGAAUUCGGGAGAGGGAUGCAGAAUUCCAGGUGUAGCGGUGAAAUGCGUAGAUAACUGGAGGAAUACCGGUGGCGAAGGCGGCAUCCUGGACCGACAUUGACGCUGAACGGCAAAAGCUAGGGGAGCAAACGGGAUUAGAUACCCCGGUAGUCCUAGCCCUAAACGAUGAAUGCUUGGUGUAACGGGUAUCGAUCCCUGUUGUGCCGAAGCUAACGCAUUAAGCAUUCCGCCUGGGGAGUACGGUCGCAAGGCUG